rnacentral:rRNA from 1 species
UACGUAGGGGGCAAGCGUUGUCCGGAAUCAUUGGGCGUAAAGCGCGUGUAGGCGGUUCGAUAAGUCUGCUGUGAAAGUCCAGGGCUCAACCCUGGGAUGCCGGUGGAUACUGUCGGACUAGAGUACGGAAGAGGCGAGUGGAAUUCCCGGUGUAGCGGUGAAAUGCGCAGAUAUCGGGAGGAACACCAAUUGCGAAGGCAGCUCGCUGGGACGUCACUGACGCUGAGACGCGAAAGCGUGGGGAGCAAACAGG